CCCUUAGAUGUUCUGGGCCGCACGCGCGCUACACUGACGGAGUCAACGAGUUGUCCUGCAUCGGAAGGUGUGGGUAAUCUUUUGAAACUUCGUCGUGCUGGGGAUAGAUCUUUGCAAUUUUCGAUCUUGAACGAGGAAUUCCUAGUAAGCGUGAUUCAUCAGAUCGCGUUGAUUACGUCCCUGCCUUUUGUACACACCGCCCGUCGCUACUACCGAUUGAAUGGUUUAGUGAGGCCUCGGGACUGGCGCGCUCGAGUAGCAAUACACCUGCGCGCCGGGAACUUGGUCAAACUUGAUCAUUUAGAGGAAGUAAAAGUCGUAACA
rnacentral:rRNA from 1 species